UCACAUCUCUAGACAUUCCUUUCUACGAUUUAUCCGACGAUAUUAAGUCGAGUAAAUAAAAGAAGUAAUGAAUAAUUGUAGUUGAUUGAAAGUUACGUUCGAUUAACAAUAACUACCACGCGCUUGUGAUCGUUCGAAGAGAAUUAAAUAAGUCCGUGGUAACCGAAACCAUGACCACCGAAGCCGUGCCCAAGGGCGAUACCGGAAUGAUCAAGAUACGACGUUGGAUAAGCCGGGGCGUUAUAUCCAUGAGACAACGGAAUCGGUACGUUGUUGUAUCCAUGAGAGACGAGAGGAGCAUUACCGUAACUGUGGCCUAAAGAGUAACUCGCUGCUGAAUUUCCCACAUAUCCGGUAUGACCAAAUCCUAAAAGGGGAAAAAAGAAAAGGUAAAACCUUUGGAAGCGCAGCAACUCGUUCGAUGUUUCAAUUACGGAAGAGAUCGAAAUAGAUCGUUUCAAUUUACUCUCUACAAAAAAAAAAGGUCAGGAUUUGAAUGACCGAACAGGAAAGUUGUCGUCUACGUUCGCUUUCUCCGAUAAAUCUACGAUAACGUUUAAACGGG